CCAAAGGCUCUUUUCAGAGCCACACACGUGCGCUGGGGAACUGUA
rfam:Oryctolagus cuniculus unplaced genomic scaffold chrTn0049, whole genome shotgun sequence.